GAUGAACGCUGGCGGCGUGCCUAAUACAUGCAAGUCGAGCGAACGGACGAGAAGCUUGCUUCUCUGAUGUUAGCGGCGGACGGGUGAGUAACACGUGGAUAACCUACCUAUAGGACUGGGAUAACUUCGGGAAACCGGAGCUAAUACCGGAUAAUAUUUUGAACCGCAUGGUUCAAAAGUGAAAGACGGUCUUGCUGUCACUUAUAGAUGGAUCCGCGCUGCAUUAGCUAGUUGGUAAGGUAACGGCUUACCAAGGCAACGAUGCAUAGCCGACCUGAGAGGGUGAUCGGCCGCACUGGAACUGAGACACGGUCCAGACUCCUACGGGAGGCAGCAGUAGGGAAUCUUCCGCAAUGGGCGAAAGCCUGACGGAGCAACGCCGCGUGAGUGAUGAAGGUCUUCGGAUCGUAAAACUCUGUUAUUAGGGAAGAACAUAUGUGUAAGUAACUGUGCACAUCUUGACGGUACCUAAUCAGAAAGCCACGGCUAACUACGUG
rnacentral:rRNA from 1 species